AUGUUGCCAGCACUCAGGGCCUUGUUGCCCUUCUCUUUGAGCUCAUUUACCUGCUCCAUAGCCCGGUCCGGAACCCCGUUGAAUAGACUCCGUCGGCUCCGCGUUCCCAACCGCACGCGCCGCCUUCUGGAACCUACUAGAAGCUGCCGGGACCCCCAGAUCCCGCCUCUUCCUCGCCGGCUCGCUGGUCGCUUUCCUCUAGGGGGCUUUCUAAGGUUUCCUACCAUUGGCUCGAAGUCUAGCCCAUCAUCUUUGCUUCUCUCUCAUUGGACAGUGGGGAGAGUCCUGCCUCCCCCGCGUUUCGAGACUGGACGUUGCUCUGAAAGCCCCACCCAUCAUAUACUCUAUGAUUGGAGGGAGGGGCGGACCUCUGCGGCACCGAUUGGUCAUUUAUCCCGCCAAUCAUGGCCGCGCUGGCCGCGCCCAUUGGUUCUGUUCUUUCUGGAAAUUUCCACCUCUCCCAUUGGGCUGACAGACUCGGUGACAGAACCGCCUUCAGAUUUAAAAAAAUUUCAAUUGGUCGGUGGUUGCAGACACUUUGCUCUGAUCAGAUCUGUUCCCAGUUCCAGACUUGUCUACCCAGCUGCCUCCUCGACGUCUCUGCUUGGAUGGCAAAUGGACUUCGCAAUGUGUUCAAAUCAGCUCCCAAUAUGCUCCCCUGAAGCUGUUCUUCCCUUGACUUCCCUCUUGUCUGUGGCCUUGCUAUUCUUGGGCUGGUUCACGCUGAAAACGUUGGAGGCGUCCUUGACUCCCGUCUUUUACAGCCACGUCCAUUUCAGCAAAGUUCGUCAGGGUUCGACAGGGACCUUUCUGCAAGUUCCCAUCCGUCUCCUGGCUUUGGGAAAGGGAAGGGCAUGUUGGCUUCCUGAGCAGGAUUGCCUGGUUGGGUCUCCUUGCCGUCCAAGGGACUCUGAAGAGUCUUCUCCAGCACCACAGUUCAAAAGCAUCACUUCUUCGGCACUCAGCCUUCUUGAUGGUGCGGUCCUAUUUGUCACGGCAAAGGGAGCAGCACCUGACCCCCGUAUACCCGCGGAGGAUACCGGGAACCACGGUGUUGCCGCCUUAGGAUGGAGUAUUAGUAGUCUUCAAAAGAACAAGCUGGUGGAUACUGACACAAGAACAUGCCCAUGAUGUACCGUGGAACAACGGAAGUUAGUAAUGGAGCGGUGUGUAUGAGAAAAAAGAAGGUGUGUAUCUUCAUAUACAUGGGAUAUGCACAGGAAAAGUCUAGAUGGAUACACAGCUAACUGCUCAAGUUUUGCUCCUGUGGAUGGGGAAUGGGGAGGGGUGCUAGAUUCGUUUGGUAGGGCUACCAUAACUAAAUACCGAAGAUUUGGUGGCUUGAACCACAGAAAUUUUCUCAGUUCUGGAAGUCCAAGACCAAGGUGCUGGUAGACCUGGUUUCUUCUGAGGUCCCUCCCCUUGACCUGCAGACAACCGGCUUCUCACUGUUUUCCUCAUGUGGUCUUUUCCUCUGUGCAAGCAUGCACUCGGGUGUAUGUCCACCUUUCCUUUCUUUUUGGCUGCACCACGUGGCUUGUGGGAUCUCAGUUCCCCAACCAGGGGUUGAACCUGGGCCAAGGCAGUGAAAGCCCAGAAUCCUAACCACUAGGCUACCGGGGAACUCCCCAACUUUCCUCUGCUGAUAAGGAUACCAAUCAGAUUAGACCAGGGCCCACCCUGAGGGUCUCAUUUUAAUUUCACCACCCCUUUAAAAACUGUCUCCAAAUACUGUCUCAUUGUGAGAUAUUGAGCGUUGGGAAUUUAAAAUGUGAAUUUGGAGAGGGGACAUAAUUCAGCCCAUAACAGGGGUUUUCAAUUUUUAUUAUGGUGUUAAAAUUUGUUACAAUGAAUACUACUAUUGAAGGGUUUUGUAUAUUUCAAGACAAAUGUCCCCAGAGCACCAACCCCCUUCCAGGCCUUCUCUGAAGUUAGAGGGGGGCAGCCAGUGCCCUCCCCCAGCCAGCUCCAGGACUCCAGCUCCAGGGCUCUCUGAGGCCCGUCCCUGAGGAAGACAGGGUGAGCCCCUCUGGAUCACUGGCCAG
rnacentral:lncRNA from 1 species